AAUAAUUUAAAAUUAUCACUUUUAUAUAUUGUUAUAUAUAUAAGUAUAUAUUUAUAAUUUUCUAUUACUUAUAAUUAUCAUUAGCUAGUAGGUAAUCCUGCCAAGUGCCAACUAAACGUUGGAUACGGCGUCGUAUCACCCCAGCUGUCUCUCCUGUCUCCUCCACUCGAUCGCCAGUCUGUACUGCUCGGGCAGCUGCCCGUACAACCUAGCCGCUGCCCGAAUCUCAAUCCCUCCCCCCAAAUCCGCCUAUAUAUAAGCUCCACACUCUCAUUCCUCUCUCUCUCAGCUCCGCCGUUAAAUUUCUCUCUCUCAUAUCUGCAUUUCUCUCUCGCUCUAGCACUCACCGCCUCACAACUCAACUCGUUCAAUUCCGCUCCUGCUGAGCAAUGGCGGUGUUCAAGGCUAGAUCUCUCAUGGUCGCGGCGGCGAUUUUGGCUCUCGUAGGAAACGCUGUGGCGCAGGAGGCCCCGGCGCCUGCUCCUGCAUCCUCCGCCGGAGUGGCGGCGCCGUCGUUCGCGGUCGGCUGCGCUCUCGCCGUGGCGUCGCUGGUGUUCGGAUCUGCGCUCCGGAUCUGAAGUUCUUUACUGCAUGCGUAUUAGUGAGUGGUGUUUAUAGAGCGACUGUGGUUUACUUAGGGAAUUUUAUGAGUGUUUGUGCAGAUCUGCUUCGAUUUGUGAUGGAGUUUGAUUUUUAGGCGAUUUGUGUUCGAUAUACAUUAUUUAUUUACUCCUUUGUACGUAUUUGGCAUUUAUAUUAAGGUAUUUAAUUUUUUUUUAUUACUGUUUUGAGUGUGAAUUUCGAUUUCGAUUUACGCUUAGUAAAUAUAUUUCGUAUCUGAAACAGCUUUUUGUAUAUCAGAAUUACAAGCUGCGAUGAUAAUAUACGCCACUUUUUGUUUUGCA